rnacentral:rRNA from 1 species
ACUCCUACGGGAGGCAGCAGUGGGGAAUAUUGCACAAUGGGCGCAAGCCUGAUGCAGCCAUGCCGCGUGUGUGAAGAAGGCCUUCGGGUUGUAAAGCACUUUUCAGUCGUGAGGAAGGUGGUAGUGUUAAUAGCACUAUCAUUUGACGUUAGCGACAGAAGAAGCACCGGCUAACUCCGUGCCAGCAGCCGCGGUAAUACGGAGGGUGCGAGCGUUAAUCGGAAUUACUGGGCGUAAAGCGCAUGCAGGUGGUUUGUUAAGUCAGAUGUGAAAGCCCGGGGCUCAACCUCGGAAUAGCAUUUGAAACUGGCAGACUAGAGUACUGUAGAGGGGGGUAGAAUUUCAGGUGUAGCGGUGAAAUGCGUAGAGAUCUGAAGGAAUACCGGUGGCGAAGGCGGCCCCCUGGACAGAUACUGACACUCAGAUGCGAAAGCGUGGGGAGCAAACAGGAUUAGAUACCCUGGUAGGAUAGCG